GUAGAUGAUGAAAAUGCACUGGGCUCUGAGCUAACUGUUGACAACAGCUAAGCUUAUGUGUGAUGCACAUUUGCAGCAAAAAAAAAAGAAGGCCUCUAUGUCAAUCU